GAGCUCCUGCCCGUCCCGCCCAAGGUCACGGUGUUCAACGUCCCUGUGACCGCCAGCCAGGGCGCCGCGGACCUCGUCACCAGGUGGCAGCAGGUCGCGCCGGCCCUGCCGGAGGACCUGAUCAUCAGGGUGGUCGUCCAGCAGAAGACGGCCAACUUCCAGUCCCUGUUCCUCGGCACGUGCGACGCGCUGCUGCCGGUGAUGAGCAGCCGCUUCCCGGAGCUGCGGUUCAACCGCUCCGACUGCCGGGAGAUGACCUGGAUCCAGUCCGUGCCCUACAUCUACCUCGGCAGCGCCUCGACCGUGGAGGACCUGCUGAACCGGACCACCGCCGAGUCCGUCUUCAGCAGCGGCUACAAGGCGACGUCCGACUACGUGCGGCAGGCCAUCCCGCGGGACGCGUGGGCCAGCAUCUUCACCAAGCUCGCGCAGCCCAACGCGGGGCUCAUGAUCCUGGACCCCUACGGCGGGCAGAUCGCGGCCGUGCCGGAGGCGGCGACGCCGUACCCGCACCGCGCCGGCGUGCUCUACAACAUCCAGUACAUGAACUUCUGGUCGAUGGCGUCGGGGGACGGGGCCGUGCAGACCAGGUGGAUCAGGGAGUUCUACGCGUUCAUGGCGCCGUUCGUGAGCUCCGGCCCGAGGGAAGCCUACUUCAACUACAGGGACCUGGACCUCGGCGAGAACGUCGUCGUCGGCAACGUCAGCAGCUACCAGGCCGGGAUGGUCUGGGGCCAGAAGUACUUCAAGGGUAACUACCAGAGGCUGGCGAUGGCCAAGGGCCAGAUCGACCCCGACGACUACUUCAGGAACGAGCAGAGCAUCCCGCCAUUUGCCAAUAGCAGGUGA
rnacentral:rRNA from 1 species